rnacentral:misc_RNA from 1 species
CAGCGGUGGCGGUGGUGGUGGGCGGGUAUGAUCCGUUGCAGGAUUGGCAGAGGAGGUACUAUAAGGGGCUGAGGGAGCGUGGGGUGGAGGCGACGAUAGUGGAGUUUAAGGAGGCCAUUCAUGCGUUUUAUUUGUUCCCGGAGUUGCCGGAAUCCGGCGAGCUGAUUGAGGAGUUGAAGAGGUUUGUUGAGAAACACCAGUCACCGGUGUUGGAGUAGAGGAUGCCUUAGUAGUGCGAAGCACCGUCACCAGUGGCUCGAGGUCACCGGUGCCUCGAGAUUUGGGUUUGGGUUAUUUUUAAUGUUACUCUCAGUUCGGUCUGACUUUGUAAUAAAUGGUUG